ACCUGUCCAAAACGUAGUACUUUAAAACACCAAUUUAGAUUCCAUGUGAUCUCAGAAGCUAAGAAGGGUUGGGCCUGGUUAGUACUUGGAUGGGAGACCACCCAGGAAGACCAGGUACUGUAGGUG
rnacentral:rRNA from 1 species